rnacentral:rRNA from 1 species
UACGUAGGCAGCAAGCGUUGUUCGGAGUUACUGGGCGUAAAGAGUGCGUAGGCGGUCCUGUAAGUUUGGUGUGAAAUCUCCCGGCUCAACUGGGAGGGUGCGCCGAAGACUGCAGGGCUUGAGUAUGGGAGAGGUAAGCGGAAUUCCUGGUGUAGCGGUGAAAUGCGCAGAUAUCAGGAGGAACACCGGUGGCGAAGGCGGAUCUCUGGGCCAUUACUGACGCUGAGGAGCGAAAGCGUGGGGAGCGAACAGG